GACGAACGCUGGCGGCGUGCUUAACACAUGCAAGUCGAACGAUGAAGAAGAGAAACGCGAACUUCGGUUCAAAUUUCACUUCGGAUUAGUGGCAGACGGGUGAGUAACGCGUAAGCAACCUACCUCUUACAAAGGGAUAGCCUCGGGAAACCGUGAUUAAUACCAUAUGACACAUUCAUAAGGCAUCUUAAGAAUGUUAAAGCUACGGCGGUAAGAGAUGGGCUCGCGUCCCAUUAGCUAGUUGGUGAGGUAACGGCCCACCAAGGCGACGAUGGGUAACCGGCCUGAGAGGGUGAACGGUCACAUUGGAACUGAGACACGGUCCAAACUCCUACGGGAGGCAGCAGUGGGGAAUAUUGCACAAUGGAGGGAACUCUGAUGCAGCGACGCCGCGUGAGCGAUGAAGGAAUUCGUUUCGUAAAGCUCUGUUCUAUGGGAAGAAAAGGACUGUACCAUAGGAGAAAGCCCCGGCUAAAUACGUG
rnacentral:rRNA from 1 species